rnacentral:lncRNA from 1 species
AUGGAUCUGACUACAUUACUAUUUACAGAUUUUAACUUUGAUUGCUACUGCAGUGUCAUGGUUGGUUCCGGAAGGAAGCGGCGGACCCAAGUGCAGAGCGGAAUUCGUGGUUUAUUCAGGGAAAUCCAAGAGUGGAGGUCAAGGGACAGGCAGUCGGUCCUCGAGGCGCGAACGUCGUUACAAGGAGAAUCAGAAAGGCAAGCAACCACAAUCUUACAGUGUUGCGGGAAUACUGAUCCACAGCCUGCGCUCUUCCAACCUACAAAACCAGGACAGUCCAUAGCUGCAGCGACACCCUGCAGGUCGGCAGAAUCCUGUGUUUUGUCCUCGGAAUAACUUGUCACAUCCAAGGAAUUACAACCUCUGCAUCCAGCUGUGGAUCUGAGUGCUCCGUAGCCCCCUUCUACACCUGAAACAGGUAAACCACGUUUGCUGCCUUGUACAUAAACGUUCAUUUAGUUCACAAUUUUACAAAAGGGGACUUAAGGGUUAAUAGUACAGAACUGCACUAAAUGGAGACAGCAACACGGAUCAGCCACACAAAUGCAUUUUUGGUGUUUAAGGUGUAGCAAUGCUGGCCUUAGAAUGAGUGGCGUGGUAGUGCAGCGAGUAGCACUGCUGUCUCAGCACCUGGCUGGUAUAAGAGGAUAUAGGUUCGAUCCCCACUUAGUCUGUGCGGAGUUUGCAUGGGUUUCCUCCGGGUGCUCUGGUUUCCUCCCA